rnacentral:lncRNA from 1 species
UGCUAUGAAGAUUUAGACGUCUAUAAAAAAAUAACAAAGACAUUGUGGACUCUGAUAGUGAUGAAGAACAAGAGAAACUUGUGGAAUACGAAUAGGUUUUAAGAGAACAUAGCCCUCACUUUAGUAUACCAGAGGAGCAGGAAAUACCAAUUGACUCCAAAGAGUGGUAUCAAUUACACUAAUCCACUAAUCGAGUUUGCGCACCAGAAAUCCUUUUCCAGGUCAUUAAUAUAUUGAGUAACAUCUAUGAUUUGCCUCAAUUAUUGGAAAUGAACCAGGAGGUAUCUCUGGGAAUCUGGAGU